CCCAGACUCCUACGGGAGGCAGCAGUGGGGAAUAUUGCACAAUGGGGGAAACCCUGAUGCAGCGACGCCGCGUGGGCGACGAAGCGCUCCGGCGCGUAAAGCCCUGUCAGCAGGGAAGAACGAAGACAGUACCUGACCAAGAAGCCCCGGCUAACUACGUGCCAGCAGCCGCGGUAAUACGUAGGGGGCAAGCGUUAUCCGGAUUUACUGGGUGUAAAGGGAGCGUAGACGGCAAGGCAAGUCUGGAGUGAAAGCCCGUGGCCCAACCACGGGACUGCUUUGGAAACUGUGUUGCUGGAGUGCAGGAGGGGUAAGCGGAAUUCCUAGUGUAGCGGUGAAAUGCGUAGAUAUUAGGAGGAACACCGGUGGCGAAGGCGGCUUACUGGACUGUAACUGACGUUGAGGCUCGAAGGCGUGGGGAGCAAACAGGAUUAGAUACCCGCGUA
rnacentral:rRNA from 1 species